CACACACAGGUAGACACACACACACACUCACAGGUAGACACACACACUCACAGGUAGACACACACACUCACAGGUAGACACACACACUCACAGGUAGACACACACACACACUCACAGGUAGACACACACACACACACUCACAGGUAGACACACACACACUCACAGGUAGACACACACACACUCACAGGUAGACACACACACACUCUCACAGGUAGACACACACACACACUCACAGGUAGACACACACACACACUCACAGGUAGACACACACACACUCACAGGUAGACAGACACACCACACACAGACACACCACACACAGACACACCACACACAGACACACCACACACAGACAGACACAAACAAAUCUUCCCAUUGAAAUGAAAUACAUGUUGCGUAUGUUUUGUGAUUAAAA